GGCAUUGAUAGGUUGGGAUGACAACGUUGAUGCACGCAGCAGAGCAGUCUUCAGCUUCUCUCAGCUCUGCAGUGCUGUCAGCUGCACUGACUUCAAGGAGGCAGGCAGACUCCUACAGCUCAGGACCUCUGGGGAAUAAAUGCAAUGAGAGAAUUGAACUGGUUUUGUUGUGUUUUUUUUUUUUUUCCACAGCUUCUGUCUUGGCAGUGCCUAAUCCCUUCUUCAUUUCUGAACUUCUCUUGGCAUACGAGAGCAACAGAGAGAAGAUGGGGCAGGCUUCGCGCAUAACAGAUUUAUUGCACUUAACACAUCUGGCUCAGAUGGAAACUGCCCCACAAUUAGCAGUAUUUCUACCCCCUGCACGCAUGCAGUCUUCAACACGUGCCAUUUGAUUAUAGCCUCAAGCUGGAAAAAUUGAUUACAGAUAAACUGUGCCUGCCACCCAUGCCUUCCCCUGGGACUUCAUCUGCUGCAAUUCUACCAACGUGCUGCUGUCUCCCUAACAGGAAAAGCUCAUGUAUGAACAGUGCUGUUGUAAUAUAUUAAGAGUAGUGGGAAAGGCCGUGGAAGUGAGCCAUAAAUCUGGAGGUAAGAGCCAGGAGCAGCAGGGGCUCUGCUGUAUGCCAUUAAUAAAGAUGUUCCAGAGGCACAGCAGCACGUUGCUGUGGAUAUCGCUCCUCAGGUCUCCACCACAGCAGAGCUGGGCUUUGGUACACAGCAAGGCAAUCAGUCAAAUGCUCUCCACUAUUGUCAAAUGAUCCAAGUUGCUCUUGGUAAACACUGCUGUUAGCAGCAAGGUUAUCGUUCCUGCUUUUAUUUAAGAGUCCAGCUCCAUUUUUCACUGUAAUACAAGUUUUUCAAGAAAUUCCCCAUCUUGUCAAACAAUGCUGGGAAUGCUUUGUUUCCGCAUAAUUUGCCCCAAAAAUAGAGUGAGGUUUUACACUCUUUAGGGCCCCAGCCUUGGCUUUGUACUCAGCCUCCAGCACAACAGGCCUCUGGCUGGGAUUAAUACCAGCACAACACAGAUUAUUGAACGAGGAGAAUAAAGAGGCACGAGGAGGGUAUUUGAGUGCAAAAACUUAAAUGUGGUAGAGGAGUGCAUCUAUCUGGACAGCAAGGAUAGGGAACCAGGAGCUGUGAAUGCCAACAGAGCAGAAGAGGGCCAAGCUCUGCAGCUAGGCCUAACCCCAGUCAUCCCCUGUGAGCUACGAGGAGGGAAACCUACAGGCAGAGCCCUGGAGAACAUGAGCAUUUGUGGGUUCCUUGGGUGGAAACCAAAUGCAAAUUGCGUUUUAAAGAAAGCAUUUAGCUAAAAUUAGCACCCAUAGCACCAUUAGUGUUGUGUCGGCUGUGACAGAAGGCACUGCUAAUUGCAAGUGAGCUUCCACCCCACUUGAUUAUCGUGGUGACACAUAGAUCAUUAACAUGACGGUCUAAACAUGGAGCAAAUUGUUUAAAUAUUAAACUGUCAACUCCUUCCUCUGAUCUCCAGAUCACUGCCUAAACAGGGGGGGGAAAUGUGUGUGUAAAAGAUGAAUUGGGAGCUCUGCCACUGCCUGGCAUCACCCUGGUCCCUGUCAGCGUGGUGACUACAGCCAGCAGGCUGUGAAAUGGCAUUUUCUGAGAUCUGCUUUGAUGCAGAUGUAUUUAAUACUUGGUCACUGCUCUCCUGCAGGCCUCCAACAUGACUGGGCCUGCUCACUGACUCCAAGCAUCCAAAGCAAGAGAACUAGAUAACCUCUCAGAGUUCCUCCCAACUCUAACAAUUCUACAACAAAUAGGAAAGGAGAGAGAUCAUUUGCCAAGAAUCAACCUCACCUGCUGCAAAUCUGACUGGAAGCCUGUGGGGCAAAGAAAGACAACAACAGAGCCUUUCCCCAGGAUGCAAACGCCAUAGAACAGGACAAUAAAAUAAGAACUGACUUACCUCCUUCCAGUGACCAGCAACAGCUCAAAAGGAGUGCAGCCUCCAACAGAUGCAGCUCCUUCGGCUUCUAGUCCUUAAAUGAGUGAGAGGUGGAUCUAAGCUUCACCCAUAUCAAUCACUCAGGUACAUUGAUUGCACCUGAACAACCUAGGUUAGCCAUAGCUGGUGCUCAGCCAUUGCUUCAGGCCCUGACCUGUCAAUUCUACUGCAGAGCCAUUCAGCUGCUGCAUACAGCCCUCCUUCUGACACAACAGGGGCACUGGACCUAUGUGCAAACCCUACGCUGUUUUCCUAUUAGUCCUUAGGCCGCAAAACAUCACAAACAUCCCUUGGAUGCUCAAAAUGUGGUAACUUGGAUAUUAGGAAGAAUUUAUUCUCAGAAAGAGCGGUGAUGCAUUGCCACAGACUGCCCAGCAAGGUGGUGGGAGGUGUUUAAGGAAAGAGUAGAUGUGGCACUGAGGGAUGUGGCCCAGUGGGCAGUGUUAGUGGUAGGUGGGUGGUUGGAUGUUAGAGGUCUUUUCCAACCUUAAUGAUUCUAUGAUUCUAAGAUUCCGAGGCUACGGAAAUUGUUUAGCAGGAGAGCAAUGCUGUUGGGAGAAAAAUACAAACACAUUAAUGACAUUCAGCCAAAGGAUUAUCAAAGGCAAGGAACCCAGGGCACUUAUUUAGGAAAUUAUUCAAGGAGGAGACUCUAAGGGAUGUGAAUUCGUGGUUUCCUUCCUGCGUAAUACAGGAGAGCACAGGAAGGCAGCCCUUGAAUUCAUGGGUCAUAACCCUAUCUACCGAACAGCUUGAGUACGAUCAGUUUAAAAUGAGUCUCAGUGCUCUUCUGCUUUUCCCAAGAGCACAGAAAAAUUAAUCUACCACUGAAGUUUCUCUCUGUCUCAAGCUGUAAAAUACAAGUUUGUGCCGAUAAUUAUUUUGACAGCCGUCACACGUGCCUGUUGUGAAGGAUCAGCACAGACAGUUUCCAAUAUGAUGUGAACCUGUGGUAAUGGCUAAUUAGAAUGCAUUACACAGUCAGUCCCUACAGUUCUCUGUUCCUUAAGAAAAUCUGCAUUUCAGAAGAGAGCCUUAUAUUGGAUAUACAGAGUUGCCUGCAGAUUUCCAUUGUGCUAUGCCAUACCCAUUUGUACCAAAGCAUUUUCUUCCGUAGCUCACCAAAUAUAGCAGCUUUCUUCAGCACGGGAACAAGACUCAGGAAAGGCUUUGUCCUCGUUCUCCUUAUAGACAAGCAGGUACAAAAAUACCAAGCAAUACGUAGCAGGAGCAGAAGUGUUAGAGGUUACCUAAGGAAUUUCGUACAAUGCUACUUUGACGUCAGAGUUGUCUCAAAUACUACCUGCUGUCAGUGUAAUAUCUAGAGGGUGAGUAAAUCUGUUUCUCACACAGACUUCUCAAAACCAGACUCAGAAUGAGUUAGAAGCUUUUGAAUAGCACUCUGAUUUCUAAGUUACGUAAGUAUUUGCAAUGUUACCCAGAAUCAGGUUGCACGUGCAGACUAGUUUCAAGCAGCACAAACAUAUCCAUAUUCUUCUGUGCUGGAGGUAUUAAUCCACAUAUGGAUAUUCAAUUACUAUCAGAGCAAACCAUUCACGUGCACUAGAAUCAGAUAAAAAUAUGCAAAGCAGGUGGCUUGAGGCUCAUUUGUACUGAAAUUCCUUCGGCUGUUUGAAGAGACUUUGUAAUGUCAGCAUACUCCCACCUGAGUACAUUCUUUACUGUGAGCAGAGUAAAGCGGCCUUCUUGUAUGUGAAAGUUAGAUCUGAAUAUGUUCGCUUCAAGGAUACAGGAUUUUUGUUUCAAGAUAAAAAUGACCAAAUAGGUAAAAUAACCUAAUUAUUGCCUUUCUUUCAAGGACUCAAGGAACUUAUACAGUGAGAAUCUGUGAAAAAUAAAUGGAAACCUGGAUUCUACUUCUCUAAUUUUCUCCUGCUCAUCUUUUAUCCUUUCUUUCUUUUUCUUCCCCAACUCCGUAUUAUCAUUCCUGCUGUCCUUAUCAGCAUUAUUGCUUUUGUUGGCCUCCAGUUCGGAGUCCUGCCACCCCGGCACCAUUUCAUCUCUCCAGAUGCAGAGUGGGGGUUUAGGAUAAAAUCUCAUCCUUUGGGAGUCCAUGGAGAUGCAUGGGAAAAAAAAUAAAAAAGCAGAUAAGAACAGUAAGUCUAUAAAUCUCCACGUCUAUAAAUCUUAAAAUGGAUUACUGAUUACAGUGACUCUUUAAUGGAAAGAGUGACAGCUCAUGUAGACAAAAGGCAGUGUAAUUCAUGGAGGCUAUUAAAUUUGAGAGGCCUUUUCAUUCUCAUUUGUCUUUCGAUGUUAUGUGUCGAUUUCUGGGAGAUUAUUCUCUGGGGAGGAUGAGCCCUACUCAUCAGAGCCUGAAAAGUGCCUGUGUUUAUUUGUCUGCUAUUUGCCAUGGUAGGCAAUAUGUUUGCUCCUCCUGCACCAGGAUGGACGACCCACAGUGCUAGUGGAGGCUAUGAGAGGGCGCCCAUCUGUCCUGUCCUGCUUGUUGUUUGUGAGAUCAUGCUGGAUACACCCACUGGGCUUUGGGGCUAAAAGGGGCCAAAACCCCAUCACAGGACAGCAGAACAGAUGCAGCCAAUCUCUCCAUGUCUGUGAUCAUCUGGAAUGUGCUGUGUCCAGACACCCCUCAUAGCAUGGCACAAAUAUCGUAGGACAGGAAUCACCCUUAUGGCAUGGGACACGGUGGUGGUGCUUUGUUCUAGGGGCUCCUCUGCUAGUGGGUUUGCAAUGGAACCAAGGUCUUGGAUAAUGGUCGUGGAUGGACCAUACUAUGGUCGAGGAACUGGUGGCGAGAUAGUACCCAGAAUGUAGUGGUCAAUGGCUCAAUGUCUGGGUGGAGAUCAGUGAUUAGUGGAGUUCCCUGGAGGUCGUUACUGGGACCAAUGCUCUUUAAUAUCUUCAUCAGUGACAUCAACAAUAGGAUUGAGCACACUCUUAGCAAGUUUGUGGAUCACACCAAGCUGUGUGAUGUGGUCAACAUGCGCGAGGGACAGGAUGCCACCAGAGAGGCCUAGACAGGCCUCUGAGAGUGGUCUCUCAGUACCUAAAAGGCCUAUAAGCAAGAGAAGGUCAGACUCUUUAGCGGGGUCUGUUGUAAUAGGAAAAUGGGAAAUGGUUUCAAAAUAAAAGAGGGGAGGUUUAGAUUAGAUGCAAGGAAAAAGUUUUUGGUGAUAAAGGUGGUGAAGCACUGGAAAAGGCUGCCCAGGGAAGUUGUGGAUGCCCCAUUGCUGGAUGGGCCUCUGUGCAGCCUGAUCUAGUAGUUGGCAACUCUGUCUGUGACAGGGGUGUUGGAACUAGAUGAUCUUUAAGAUCCCUCCCAGUCUAAGCCAUUCUAUGAGCCUAUGGUUCUAUGAGACUUUGAGCUGCUACUGACCAGCAAAAAAACAGCCUGAGUUUUUUAAAUGCUCAUUCAUCAGAGUAAGAGUGUAGAACAGCAAGUGGGCACCGGGGGAGUUUACAUCCCAAAGCACUCCCUUUGCCAAGGUUGCGUUCCUUCAUUUUGAUCACAGAUUACAGAGCUAGAGUGCAAUGGUUUCCCAUGGGAAACCAGGGGCCAGCGGAGUUUCAUCAAGAAACAAGUUACUGCUGGGGCUGGGAGCAGGAUGCUUUCACUCCACAGCGCAGGAGGAUUUACUGUAACACAAACCCUUCAUGCAGGUGAUUGACUGCUACUGCUACCCGCGACAGCCUGAAAUCUGCUGCCUUUGUGUCCUUACUGUUAGUCCAAUUGUUCAUUCAUGGACCAAGAGACUCCCAGCGCAUCCAAUUCCAGCCAGGCAAAGUGGCUGCGAUCCUCAUCAGAAAUCAAUUGACUGAAGUCAGACCCCACAUCUCCGGUUGCUAAGGACAGGCAAAUCCACAUUGCUCAUGCUUAGACCAGUGGUGCAGAACAUCACUUAGUGCUCACAGCUGCCUUAUGGCAACAGAGGUGGAAGAGAAGCUGCAGAGACAUGAGGAGCAGGAUCCUGUGCUGCCUGGGAGUCCUGAACGUGUGGAUGGGAAGUAACCUUGAGAGGGGGUCUGUUCCUUGACCAUGUGUUGAAAAUGCCCAUUCAGUUCUGGAGGAAAGUAUUGUCUGUUUACUUAUUUAUGCAGUUAAAAAGAUUGAGGACAUUGCUGUCAACCUCCAGGGCUCUGAAUCCAUACCCUGUCACCUUAAUCAGGUGCCCUAGUGCCCUAAAUUACUAGCUAGCUGCACUUAGCCCUGGUUGACCAUUGCAGCAGCCCCACAGGAAUAAAGACACGCUCUUUUCCAAGUGUGUAUGCAGCCCACGUUAGUUUUGGUGACCUAAAAUUGCUGCCUUUCCCUCUACAGAGAGGAUGGAUUGGUCUCAUACUCCUCACUGCUGCCUGGAACCUUUGUCGCAAUGCCCCAUUGCAUCUUGGCAGCCUCACUGUUGUUUUGGGGAUGAGUCACAGGAUACUGAGCUAUCUGGUCAGAAAGGCUCAGUUUCGGUGCUGAGUCACUGCAAAGACAUUGUGGGCAGCUCGGGGCUGUGUUUGUGUUAUGCCUCCCAUUUCACAAAGGACAUUUGCUUAUUUUUGCUUGUCUAAAAGGUCACGCAUCCACGUGCAUUUACUUACUGGUGUUCCUCCAGCACAUCUGGCCGAGGAUGGUGUGGCCGCUUUGUGGUCCUCGCUACGUAACACGAAGUCUUCAUUGUGGUGCAUCACCCUCAUCUUCACUGUGGCUGCCUCCAGCCUGGCUCUGUCUCCAAGGCAGAUUCCAUUUCUUUUUUCUUUUUUUUCCAAAUAAAACCAAUAUUGCUAUUGCUAUGUAUUAUUUAUGCUGCGGAAAACAUUGAGAGGAAGAAAUGGGAAAAAUUAGCUCAUUCGUUCUAGAAUCUGCAAGCAGCUGAAAGACAAAGAAUAUAGAAUUAACAAAAAAACAAAAAAACCCAACAACCUCAGCUAAUUUUGGGAAGUUUCGUCUUCACAAGAUCCACUCAUUUCAUAGCUAAUUCUUUGUAAACCGUUAUUCCUUUUGUUCCAAGUUUGGUAUAGUUUUACAUCAAGCCAAGUUCAAUGAAAGAAGAAAAAGGAGAGAUGGUUUGAAUUAUUCCCCAUCCCCUCACCCCACAAGAAAAAACUUGGGUUUGAAGAUCACAUUUUAAUAUGCAAGAAUCCAUCCAAGGACGCCCUUGCUAAUCUUUCAGAAUGCAGCAUUGUGCUCCUUCAAAGUAUUGAAAGCUGCUUGGAUUGUGAUUGAAUGCAUAACCCUGUAUUAAACUUCUAAUGGCUAACGAGACAGAAUUUGGUUACAAAGGCUGAAAUAUAGAAAAUAUAAAUCAGCAGCGUGCAACAG
ensembl:lncRNA